rnacentral:rRNA from 1 species
CCUACGGGAGGCAGCAGUAGGGAAUCUUCCACAAUGGGCGAAAGCCUGAUGGAGCAACGCCGCGUGGGUGAAGAAGUUCUUCGGAUCGUAAAACCCUGUUGUUAGAGAAGAAAGUGCGUGAGAGUAACUGUUCACGUUUCGACGGUAUCUAACCAGAAAGCCACGGCUAACUACGUGCCAGCAGCCGCGGUAAUACGUAGGUGGCAAGCGUUAUCCGGAUUUAUUGGGCGUAAAGGGAACGCAGGCGGUCUUUUAAGUCUGAUGUGAAAGCCUUCGGCUUAACCGGAGUAGUGCAUUGGAAACUGGGAGACUGGAGUGCAGAAGAGGAGAGUGGAACUCCAUGUGUAGCGGUGAAAUGCGUAGAUAUAUGGAAGAACACCAGUGGCGAAAGCGGCUCUCUGGUCUGUAACUGACGCUGAGGUUCGAAAGCGUGGGUAGCAAUCAGGAUUAGAUACCCUGGUAGUC